CGGACUACAACCAAGAAAUUUUUACCUGGCAAAAUGAAGCAUAAUAUAUCAGUACAUAAUAUAUCAAAAUUAAGCAUAAUACAGAAAAAAAAAGUUUCAAGUUUUCAUAAGGAGAACAGAACUAAACCAAUAAUUUGAGUUCCAACAUCAAGAGCCAAAAGAAGCCUAAAAAGGACAAGAACUGGCCUUCUUUGGAGGGUUUGGACUUCUCCACAUCCAUUUGUCAGUGGAAGACUUCCCAGCAAAAGUAUUGGAACAGUUUGCCAUUCCCUAUUCAAGCAGAUACAGAAACUGAAGUAAACAGGAUUAACUGAUUUGCCCAUCACAACUACAAAAUUCAAGGAUUAUCCCAGAGAGCAGAAACCAAAAACUCACUUGGCUGCAAUUGAAGAUACCAUUAUUGUAAAAGCAGAAUUGAGCUGAUGAUGAGGAACUACUUGAAUGACAAUAGUACAAUUCUCUCCAUUUAUUAUCUGUUUGGAGAUCAACUCAUAGAGGAUUUGGGAGGAGAACAACUUAUUUGGAGAUCAGAGUUAAUAUUCCCCACCAUCAAAACUGAUUGCAAAUGCUAAUUUAUUAAUGUUGAUCUGUAAAGAGACCUUAUGUACUUCAUCUUUGAAAAUGUCUUUUCAUAUAGCUUCUGAUAAAUACUGAUAUCAGUCCAUGUGCUUAUUACUUAUUAAAUGAAGCCUAGGAAGCACCUGGAUGAAAUUUAUAGUAUAGAAUUGCAUUUGACUUUUAGCAUGUCAUAUCAUAUCUUCAGACACACCAAAAAUUUCAUUAUACUGAAGAUUAAUCAUUUCCCAUGAGAGAUUAAGUAGAAAUUUCUCACUUGUGAAGUUCAAUGAAUUUUGAAAUAUAGGAUUUCUCUCUGAAAAAUGCUGGCAGAACUGUACUUUGAGCUCAGAAAAUAUAUUUGCUACAAGUGGGAAUGGAUUAUCUUACUUCUCUUAACUUCUGACAUAUCUAAAAAUAUUCAAAAGCAACUUAAUAUUAUUUGUGAUUUAAAUAAUAUUUAGUGACAAACAAAUUGAGUUUAUCACAAUGUUUUGCAUUUAAAUGCUGUUUUGUCUUGUAAUUUAGACUAAAUUCCUUAAGACAAGUUAUUAAUUCUGCAGCAAAAAAUACUUCCAAUUUAUUUGUAAUCUCAUUCUUUAUGCCUAGGUCAUGAACCCAUUUUGACCUUAUCUUGGUGUACAGUGUUAAGUGUGGGUCAAUGCCUACAAAAACUGUAAUUUUUCACUAGAGAUUACUUUUUUCUACAUACAUUUCAAUAGAAUAUUAAUCCUUUGUCUAACAUGAUAGUCAUGAAUAAACUGCAAAAUUCAGUAUACAAAAUAA